rnacentral:rRNA from 1 species
UACGAAGGGGGCUAGCGUUGUUCGGAAUUACUGGGCGUAAAGCGCGCGCAGGCGGUCCUUCAAGUCAGAGGUGAAAGCCCAGAGCUCAACUCUGGAAUGGCCUUUGAGACUAGAGGACUUGGGUACGGGAGAGGUGAGUGGAAUUCCGAGUGUAGAGGUGAAAUUCGUAGAUAUUCGGAAGAACACCAGUGGCGAGGGCGGCUCACUGGCCCGUUACAGACGCUCAGGCGCGACAGCGUGGGGAGCAAACAGG